rnacentral:rRNA from 1 species
UACGUAGGGGGCAAGCGUUGUCCGGAUUUAUUGGGCGUAAAGAGCGUGUAGGCGGUUUGGUAGGUCCGCUGUGAAAACUCGAGGCUCAACCUCGAGACGCCGGUGGAAACCAUCAGACUAGAGUCCGGAAGAGGAGAGUGGAAUUCCUGGUGUAGCGGUGAAAUUCGUAGAUAUUGGGAAGAACACCGGUGGCGAAGGCGGCUCUCUGGACCGUAACUGACGCUGAGGCGCGAAAGCGUGGGGAGCAAACAGG